rnacentral:rRNA from 1 species
UACGUAGGGGGCAAGCGUUGUCCGGAAUCAUUGGGCGUAAAGCGCGUGUAGGCGGCUCGGUAAGUCUGCUGUGAAAGUCCAGGGCUCAACCCUGGGAUGCCGGUGGAUACUGUCGAGCUCGAGUCCGGAAGAGGCGAGUGGAAUUCCUGGUGUAGCGGUGAAAUGCGCAGAUAUCAGGAGGAACACCAACAGCGAAGGCAGAUCUCUGGGACGUUACUGACGCUGAGACGCGAAAGCGUGGGGAGCAAACAGG